CUCAUCCCAGAAUAGGUGAAGCAAACUAGCGUCCUAAUUAAUAUGCAGCCUUUUGGAAACAGGAAGCAGCACAUUGCUCUGUGAUCCCCUGCAAGGCUGAACCCCAGAACCAGGCCCAGACCGCUCUUCUCCAACCUGCAACCUCCCCAGCCUGGCUUCAUAACAACCCUACAUACAGCUGGAGAAGAUUGUAGUAUUUGACCUUUGACACUUGGAAUAUGAGAGAAUUCUGCU
rnacentral:lncRNA from 1 species